AUGCUGCUGCUGGCAGCGCUCAUGGCCACAACCGCUUGGAUUUAUGGAGUUGCACAAGAAAUUCCCGUGCAGGUCCCCCUGUCCAUCACGAAGUCCAAAGGAACUGUCCGUCUGGAAUGCCACUUUAAAGACGUCUCUGAAGAUUUUGAUCCUGUCGUCAUACACUGGUACCAACAGAAGGCAAAUAAAGCCCCAGAGAGGGUGCUCUAUUUUGCAGGGACAAAAGCAGUAGAUGAGGGCUUCCAAGCGCAGAGGUAUAGGGUUGAAAAGAUUUCUGGACAGAAACUGUGCAUUCUUGAAAUAAACAACGUCCUUCCAGACGACACUGCGACCUACUACUGCGCCUACUGGAGCUUGGGUGACUACUACAAAGUCUUUGGAACCGGCACAAAGCUUAUUGUUUCCG